ACGCUCGACACCUACGGGAGGCAGCAGUGGGGAAUAUUGCACAAUGGGGGAAACCCUGAUGCAGCAACGCCGCGUGAAGGAAGAAGUAUUUCGGUAUGUAAACUUCUAUCAGCAGGGAAGAAAAAGAUGACGGUACCUGACUAAGAAGAACCGGCUAAAUACGUGCUAGCAGCCGCGGUAAUCUGAGCGGGCUGGCAAGGC
rnacentral:rRNA from 1 species